UGCAAUUCAUCAAACAUGUAUUGAGCACCUUGCUCUAUGGAACAUGGUGUGAUAUGCUGCAGGAAGCUGCUCUAUGGAACAUGGUGUGAUAUGCUGCAGGAAGCUGAUCAAUGGCCACACCAAGAUAGCAAGUCCUAGCCGGGAGCCAGGAGGCACACCUAUAAUCCCAGCUACUCUGGAGGCAGGGGCAAGAGGAUCACAGGUGAGUUGGAGACCAGCUUGGGUAACUUAGCGAGAUCCUGUCUCUAAUAAAAUUUUAAAAGUGCUGGGCAUGUGGCUCAGGUAGAGCACUUGCCUAACAUGCACAAGGCUCUGGGUUCAACCCCCAGUGGUCCCCCUCCCCCACAAUAGACAUCAGGUCCUAAUUCUCAAAGCCUGUGAGAGUCACUUUAGAUGGCAAAUUAAGGAUUAAAUUAAGGAUCUUAAAAUAUGAUCAUCUGGAUUAUUAUCCAAGUGAACCUGAUGUCAUCACAAGGGUUCUUACAGAAGAUUUAAAGAUGUCGUGCUAUCUCUGAAGAUGGAAAAGGGGACCACUAGCCAAGGAGUGCAGUUCUAGAAGCUGGAAAGGUCCAACAACAGGGUUCUCCCCUACAGCCUCCAAAAUAAAUGACCCUGCCACACCUUGGUUUUAGCCCCUAAAAGGCCCAUUUCAGAUUUCUGAACUCCAGAACUAUAAUAAACUGUCUCGUUUUUCACACAGUGUGUGGGCAAAUAAAUACACACACGUCCCCGUUCCUCUUCAUGCUGUUUCUCACCUUGCACAUGCAGGGAAGCAGGUGCACAGAGGUGAGUAUGUGCCUGUGGUCUUUUUUUUUUUAUGUGCCUGUGGUAUUGAGGAGUGAGCGCCUGUAGCCACCCAUGUACCACUUCUGAUGUUAUUUUCACAAGUAGGCACAUGUGAUUCAUUCCUUCAAUAAAUAUGUACUGAAUAUCUGCUCUGUGCCUGGCAUAGUGCUGGCUGUGAGAACAAAGAGAUGAGCCUAACAGAUUAUCGUGGCAUUUCUAUUCUGGCAAGGGGGCAGGGGUAGGAAGGUGUACAGAAAUCCAGUACUCUUUCAUGCUUUUAAUCACAGUGAACCCAGGGCUGGGGAUAUGGAUCAGUAGUAGAAUGCUUGCCUAGCAUGUACCUGGCCCUGGGUUCUAUCCCCAACACCACAAAAAGCAAAACAAAAUAAUCAUAAUCACAGUGAACCCCCUUCUCUGAAUAAGAUUGAGUUUUAGAGGCAAUAGUUAGGUAAGAAGAGCAUUAUCAUUCAAAAUUACAUUUAAAAACCUUAAAUUAGAUAUACAGAAACUAGGGUUGUAGUUCAGUAGUAGAGCACAUGUUUAGCAUGCACAAAGCCCUAAAUUUAAUCCCUAUCACCAAAAAGAAAAAUAAAGAAAGAAAAUAGACUAUAUAUACUGCACAAUAAUAAUUUUUUUUUAACUGGGGAUUAAACCCAGAGGUGCUUUUUCCACUGAGCCACUCCCCAUCCCUUUUAUUUUGAGAGAGGUUCUCCUUAAAUUACUUGUUAAGUUGCUGAGGCUGGCCUCCAACUUGUGAUCCUCCUGCCUCAGCUUCCCAAAUCACCAGGAUUACAGGUGUGCACCACCACACCCAGCACAAUAACUCUUUUGUAUGUUCAUGUUUGAGAAGCAGUGAUCUGGGCUGAAAGAACUGACUCCAGAUAAGGCUAUCUCUAGAUACCUGGACACUGCAACCACUUUGCCUUUAAGAAAGCAACCCCAUCUCUAGGGACAAAUUGAGAUUGGGCAGAGAAUGGGAGUGUUCCUGGAGUCUGUAGGUCUGACUCUAAUCUAGUUUUAUAUUAAGCAUUCAUCAUCUUAGUGUGUGUUAAAAGAUUAGUUCAGUUUUAUGAGGAUAAUACCAAAUUCUGAAGUGGCAUCUUUGGAGGUCAGUGGGUGGAGGAUAAAUUUUAAAGCUUGUAUUAGUUCAACAUGCCUCUGAUGUGAGUCCAUAAAGCAAAUUGGGCCAGUGUGUUGUCCAUAGAGCAAACUGGGCCAGAGCUGGUAGGGGAACUUGGAACCUCAGAAGAGGGCUUCCCAGAGAAAGUGACAUUGAACUUCAAUGAGGACAGCUGGGCGUUAGCCAGGUAAAACAAUUGAGGGGGAGAAUAUUCUGGGCAUACCUGUCUUCUCAGCAAGUGCCUGGAGUCAAGACCUCAUCUAUGCCAAAGAGUGAUACCCACAUUCCCCUUGCUGUCCAGAGGUAUGCUAGCUAGGACUCUCUGCUUUAACCCCCAGGACCUCUGGAAGACCUACGCGCUUCUUUACUUCCUAAGAAAGGCUGGGGAUUUCUUCAGACUCAGGAUUUCUUGUUCAUCCACUGCUUUUGCCUCAGGCACUUUUUGUGUUCUGGAAUGGUGUGGUGAGGCUGUGGGGAGACCAGUCCUUUUCGGGAGACCAAUCUGCUCUGGGUUGGACUUGCUGUUUGACUGUAGGCCAGGCACCUCUCUCUGGGACUUGACUUGUCCAUCUGUAAAGUGGGAGUCGAGCCCUUGCAGCUUGCUUUGACAUGCUCUGUCAGGACUAUGCAGCACCCUGUAGUGGUUAAACCCCUGGCCCUGGGUUCGAACCCUGCUUCCACCAUUUAUGGGAUCUUGGGCAAAUCAUUUCUCCUCCCUGAGGCUCCAUUUCCACAUCUAUAUACUAGUGGCCUUUGCUCCCCUCCCUCUGGAUUGUAUGAGGAUUAAAUGAGAUCAUGGAUAUGAAGCAUCUGAUGCUGUGCCAGGCCCAGUUAAUGACAGCUGCUGUCAUUAAAUUUUGUAAUGGAUGUGAAAUGGAACAUGUUAGCUCUGCUGAUUGCUACGAAACACACCACCACCCUCAGGGCUUACCAUCAGCGCAAUCUCCACAAACAGCAUCAGAAGGUUUUCUGACGGGUGGCCAGGGAAACACCCAGAGCUGCGUGGCUUCGCUUUGGCAGCAACUGAGGAAACUCCCCAUAGGGAAACAUCUGCCGGGUAGGCGGUAACUGUGCUAACUUGUGGGUAUGAGGACGAUUCCCAGACUCGACCUGCAAGGGUAGCCUGGGAUAGAGACUGGGUGGCCAGACUUCAGGGGAGGAGUGGAAAUGUCUCUUGCCUUUAACUGGUAACCAGAUCCGAAACAGCCUGGGGCAGGAUGGACAUAACUGAGUCUUCUCUCAUUGGUCAGCUGUCUGGGAGCCUCUGGCUGUGCCCCCUGUCAUUCUGACCACCUAAUGUCAACUCAUCUUGCAACUAAUACAGUCUGAUUGUUCUUCCCCUCCCCCACCCCAUGCUGGGGACUGAACCCAGGGCCUCACACAUGCUGGGCAAGUGCUGUACAUCCCCAGCCUGGUCUGACUGCCCUUUAUCCAACUGAAGCCCAGAGAGAGGCAGGGAUGUGUGCAUGAUCACACGACAAAUCAGAGCCAGAAUCUAGGUCUUUAGGCCUCAGAUCCACCUAUCUGUCAGCACCAGGCAGCCUCUUUGAUUCUGUUAAGUGAGUGGUUGGUUGUUGCCUAGCAACCAGUCACCCCAGAUGUUUUCUAUCUCCACAUUUCCUUGGGAAUCAGACCACCCAGUGACAGUUGGGCUCAGAUGUCAGAGAGAAAAUGUCUCUGGUCUAAGGGGCAGUAUAGAAGAGGGCUGCUUGUGUUAAGUAGUGACCCAGGCAAGACACAGUCCAUUCCUCUGGGUCCUGGAGCUCUCCCAGGCAGCCCAGAACCAUUUAUCUUUCUGGCUUAGAGACCAGAUUCACAUGAUCCCUCUCUCCAGGCAGAGCUAUGGCCUGUCAUCACAGAUAGCAGCAAGUGCUGGAGGAGGAAACCCUCUCUGGGCCUUUUAGUCAUCACAGGAGGCACUUUGGGAGAAUAAUUUGAAGUCACACCCAUGGCUGAACCCUGGCUUUGUCACUCAUUGGCUAUGUGACUUUGGUCAAGCCACCCUGCCUCUGAAUUGGCUCCCACAUCUGUAGAAUGCAAUUAUUAUCUACAAUAUGCACAGAGUUAUUGAGAUAAUGAUAUAAAGUACCAGACAGAAAAAAAAGAAGUUACUUUAUUAAUAUCUGUAUCAGUCAGAUAUUUCCAUUGCAAGAGACAGACUCCACUCUAGGUUGGUUACUGAAAAGAGCCAGAGGAGAAGACUGGAAAGCUACACGGCCAGGAACCAUAUUUCCAAAAGGCCAUCCCAGUGCCGGUCCUAGAGCCCUCACCUUCCAGCACACAGCACCAUGAUAGCCCUUGUCCUCCUCUUUUCCUUUUUGGAAUCUGGCUCCCAUGGCUGGGCUGCACAGGGAAAGUGCGUGUACACACGGUACUGCUUGGAGUGCUUACGACCCUUGGAGAACAAUAUGAUUAUUAUGCCAAUGUACAGAUUUGGAAACUGAGGCACAGAGCUGUUUUUUUUUUUUUUUUUUCCUAAUUUUUCUAAGAUUACACCAGCUAGUAAGUAGAAUCAGAACCGGAACCCAUGCAGUCUGGCUCUGUAACCUGUACUCCUAACUACUAUCUCUAUUUCUAAUGUCCUGGACUGGAACUCCAAAUGCAUCCCCCUGAGAAAUAGUGUUUAACAUGAUGGGCAGGUUCUAUCAUAAAUAUGACUAAGUGGACAAAUAUGCUUAAUUCAUUAAUUCAACUUCAAGUGCCUUCUAUGGCCCAGGCUCUGUAAUCAACAUCGAACAAGACUACCAUGGUCUUAAAGAACACAGGACUAGAAGAGAAAACAAAUAAGAAAUAAGCAAACACCCAAAUAAAUAAAAUACUUAAAAAAUUACAGUAUGGACAGAAACCAUGACAGAAACACAAAGCGUGGUAUGAGAAGGAUGGCUGUGGUAUCCCUGGGGGUCCAGGGGACUCUCCUCAGCUCAUUCUGUCCAGCCACACUGGCCUUCUUGCUACUCUUUGAAACCACCAAGCAUACUUAGAGCUGUUCCUUCUGCUUAAAAAAAAGUCUCCCCACUUACCUGUAUGGCUAAUCCCCUCGAAUAUCACCUACUCAGGGAGAUCUUCCCUGAUACCACUAUUUGAUUGUUUUUUGUAGUGCUUGGACUCAAACCCAGGGCCUUGAGCAUGCUCAGCAAGCAGCUCUACCACUGAGCAGCACCCAGCCCCCAGUACUACUACUGGAACUGCAGCCUCCUCUUCUCCUUUCUGCAUGAGCACUCCUAUCUGAUCACCCUGCUUUAUGUUUAUUUUUUUCCAUAGCCUUAUCACUUUCUAACAUUAUUCAUCUAUUUAUUAUGUUUACGAUUUGUCUGCUUCACCUUGUAGAAUAGAAUGUAAAUAUCAAGAGAGCAGAGAUCCUUGUUCUGUUCACUGAAUGGUGAAUGUAGUGAAUAGUAGGUGCUCAGAAAAACUUAUUUAAAUGAAUGUAAAUCCCUUCCCUGGGAUCACACAAUUGGGAAGUGGCACGGCGAUGAUUUGAAUCCAGUGUAAUUUGGCUCCAAAGAUACACAAUUUUCUUUCUAGGGCUACUGUGGGGCUCAAAAAGGUUCCUUCAGCCACUUAGCACAGUGCCUGGUACAAACAUUAAAUACUGAGAUGUGGUUAUUAAUAUUGGGGGGAGGAGCUUCUCUCCUCCUGGGUUUUUUUUUUUCCCUAAAUUCCUUAGUUUAGUCAGCAGUCAGCUCUUUGCUGUGGGACCUCAAGCCUGACUUGGCAGAAACAGCGACAUGACCCUCUGGAAGGAAAACUGCUGAUGGGACAGCACAAGUAGCAGGCAGUCCUGCCCACCUAUCACACCCUCUCCACGCCCUGCCCACUUAUAACUGACCUGAGUCGCUCACCCACAGGGAUUGCAAACACAGACUUCCUGUGUCUUGAGAAAGGGGAAAUCCAGCCAGCGAUUUACGGUGAGUCAUUUGUUUCGUGAAGGAAGCCUCAGCAGUUGGCAGAAGGUAGAAGCAGGGGAGAGCUGCCCAAGAAGAGAAAGGAGACCAGAAGCUGCAACUUCGGCUUACUACACUGAGCAGAUCGCCUUCCUGGCCUUAAUUUUCUCAUCUGGAAAAUGGGACAAGGAUCUUCACCUCUAGAUAGUUCUACUAAUAUUAUUGAGCACCUGUGUGUGUGACCAUUUGAGAAUAAGCAUCAUUCAACUGGAGGGGCUUGCAAUGGCCACCAAGUCCAGGUGUUAAAAGUAUAAACUAUGCCUGGCAUGAUGGUGCACACCUGUAAUGCCAGCUACUCAGGAGGCUGAGGCAGGAGGACGACGAUUUUGAGUGCACUUAGUGAGAUCCUGUCUCAAAAAACUGAAAGGGCUGGGGAUGUGACAGAGCACCCCUGGUUUCAAUCCCCAGUGCUGCCAAACAUAAACGAAAAGUACACAAGACUAUGAAGUCACUCAGUUCUGGAUUCAAAUCUAGCCUAAUCACUUUCUAGCUGUGUGUCCCUGGGCAGGUAAUGAAACCUCUGUGUAUCUUGCUUUCUUACCUAUAAAAUAUGCCAUUGGUUACUUCUGUGAAAUAACAGCUUAUCAUCGGUGAGAUCAGAUGUUCUCUCAGGAAUGGUGGCUUUUCUUCAAUCUUUGAUGACCUCACUUGCUCACCGCCCUGUGUGUUGUCUUGUUCAGUCCUGGCCCUGCGCAGGAGAGAGCCCCUCCUGAGAGUGCUUCUAACAAUAAUUAUUAAAAUCGAGAAUUACUUUACUCAUUUAUUUUCACUGAUGACACAAGUAAUAAGUUUAUGGUAGAAAAAAAUUAAGCAAAUAUAAAUAAAAACAAAACAAAGAUUACACAUCACUUCACCACCUAGAGAUAACCGCUACUGACAGCUGCACUCGCCUUCCGCAGGCAUUUCUUUUUAAAUGCAUAUGUAACAGGGUGUAAAAUGCAAGUUUCCUCUCUUUUUGGCUUGGGGGCAGAGGCUAGAAGUGCCAAGGACUUCCGCAUCCCAAAUUAAGGUGCUAGACCACCCGGGGCAUGCUGAAGGAUGAAGAAAGCAGAAACCAGUUCUACCAGCAUUGAAAUGCAUCACCCACCCUGUGUGUGUGUGUGUGUGUGUGUGAGAGAGAGAGUGUGUGAGAGAGAGAGAGAGAGAGAGAGAGAGAGAGAGAGAGAGAGAGAGAGAGAGAGAGAGAGAGAGAGAGAGAGAGAGCACUAGCAUGAGAGUGAGCAGUUGAGAGGGAUUUCUUUUGGAAAGAACUGCUGAUUGCGGCAGUGUCUCACUGUAACACCCCUUACACCCCACACAGUGUGAGGGUACUUCAGCCUCACUUUAGGGAACUGGGACUUGGAGGGAUCUGUGGACCAAGGAGACAGUUGAAUCUAAAGCAAUGGCCCAGGGCUGGGGAAUACUCAUGGUAGAGCGUUUGCCCAGCAUGUUCAAGGCCCUAGGUUCCAUCCCAGCACUGCAAAAACAAAAAAUAAAUAUGUAUAAAAUAAAUUAGUUCAGUAAAGCGAUGACCCACUCUUCUAUCAACUGCAUUUCCCCAGCAGAGAGCUUGUCAUGCUAAAAUGUCAAAGUCCACUGAGUUGACUGCCUCCCUGACUAAAGGAGAAGCAUCUUGCUGACAAGAGUCUUGGCCAUGUCUCCCCUGUCCCUUGCAGAAGGCCUGUUCCAGUGAAUGAAGGGAAGACUGAAGAAGUUGUGGAGUGCAAAGGAGGAAGACCAAGGAUUUCAGAACCACACAGAUCUUAGUUCAAUGCCGCCUUUGCCAUUUUCUAGCUGGGCUCCCCUUGGGGAAGUCGCAUCAUGUCUCUAACCUCAUUUUUUGCACUUGGAAAAUGAGGACAAUCUGAGCAUCUGAUUUGCAGAGUUGUAAAUGAAAGGAGAUCAAGCCAGGCAUGGGGGCCCUUGCCUGUAAUCCCAUUUGCUCAGGAGGCUGAGGCAGAAAGAUUAAAACCCAGCCUCAGCAAAAGCAAGGUGCUAAGCAACUCAGUGAGACCAAAACAGAUUUUGGGAUAUGGCUCAGUGGUAGAGUGCCCCUGAGUUCAAUCCCCUAUACCCGCCCCCCCAAAAAGGAGAUCAAGCAGUACAUAGUAGGUGUUCCAUCAGUGAAGACUGAAUUAUGGGCUGGGGAUGUGGCUCAGAGGAAGAGCUCCUGUCUAGUAUGCAUAAGGCCCUGGGUUCCAACCCCAGUAUGGUGGGGGGAGCCAGGUGUGAUUGCCUACACCUAUAAAAUCACAGUGACUUGGGAGGUUGAGGCAGGAGGAUUUCAAUUUUGAGGCCAGCCCUGUCUCAAAAUAAAAACUAAAAAAGAUUGGAGAUGCACUUGGUGGCAAAGAGUCUCUG
rnacentral:lncRNA from 1 species